GAUACCCCUGGAAAUCUGCACUUCAUGAUGCUCAAGACGCAAUUCCUUCCCUGACCACACCUGAAUUCAAGGGCAAAAACCUAUUUCUGAACCGGGCCAGCAGCGCCCUCUAGUGGAUCCACAGAGGAAGGCCUCAAGGAGCUCUGCGCUUCAGACACAUCCACGCAGGCAGCAUAAAGCCACGCGGGGACCCUGCUAGCAGGAAAGAGCAUGAAGCUUGGGGCUGCUGGAGUCAUCACCUGAAUCAGAGAAUAAAGCUAACUCAGAGGAAAGCACCACAGAGACAUCAAGGGACCAGCUUGAGUUAUAUCGCUGGAUGUGACCAUGUCUGCAGGGACUGGAAAUUUCAAUCGUGUGAGCCAAUAAAUUCCCCUCUUCUGGGGAACUACAUGGAAUUGGGUUUCUGUCACAACUGAAAUCAUUCUGACCAAUGGAUUUAGGAUUCUAAAGAAUGAAAAGGAAAUACAUCAUUAGGGCUCUUAAAUACCUCAAAGGGAGGCCAGGCGCAGUGGCUCACGCCUGUAAUCCCAGCACUUUGGGACGCUGAGGUGGGCGGAUCACAAGGUCAGGAGUUUGAGACCAGCCUGGCCAACAUAGUGAGACCCCAUUUCUACCCAAAUUAGCCAGGCGUGGUGAUGGGUGCCCGUAGUCCCAGCUACUCAGGAGCUGGAGGCAGAAGAAUCAUUUGAACCUGGGAGGCAGAUUACAGUGAGCCAAGAUUGCACCACUGCACUCCAGACAGAGCGAGACUCCAGUCAAACAAACAAACAAAAUCUCAACAGGAAUCCUAAUGUCAGGCAAAGUAUCUCAGAAAUGCAGUCUAACACCUUUUGGUGAAACUCACUGCCUGUCUUUUUGGUGAGUACGAUGG
rnacentral:lncRNA from 13 species